CGCGUAGGCGGCCUGAUAAGUUAGCCGUGAAAGGCCUGGGCUCAACCUGGGAAUUGCGGUUGAUACUGUUGGGCUGGAGAGCGGGAGAGGAUGGUGGAAUUCCCAGUGUAGAGGUGAAAUUCGUAGAUAUUGGGAAGAACACCGGUGGCGAAGGCGGCCAUCUGGACCGUAUCUGACGCUGAGGCGCGAAAGCGUGGGGAGCAAACAGGAUUAGAUACCCUGGUAGUCCACGCUGUAAACGAUGAGUGCUGGACGUUGGUGGGCUUGCCUGCCGGUGUCGCAGCUAACGCGUUAAGCACUCCGCCUGGGGAGUACGGCCGCAAGGUUGAA
rnacentral:rRNA from 1 species